rnacentral:tRNA from 1 species
AAAUCGAUGCCUGAGUGGUCAAAAGGAACGGAUUGUAAAUCCGGAGAUUUCGAUCUACAUCGGUUCAAAUCCGAUUCGAUUUA